AAGAAACUCCUGUCACUCACCUUGAGGUCCCACCCACUUCAGAGGAUCAGGACAUCCAUGUCCACAACACUCCAAUCAGUCCUGCAGUGGGGGACAUUGUGUCUCCUGUGACGAGGUCUGCUGGAGGACAGCGUGGACAUGAGUCCAUGUUGCCAAUAAGCACCCCAGCGUUGGCGAGAUAAUUCAGCUGCUGGACGGGCAGGAGGAGGCAGAAUACUACAUCAUGGAUUCUUCCAUGUUCCACGAUGUCUUUACAUGUGUGAGCAGUUCCUGGAUGGUCUUGUUCAGGGACCGGGUUCUUGAACUUCACUACUUAUUUAUAGUUUAAAGCUGUGCACUCUUUGGCCCAGCCUACUGCAUGACGGGACAUGUCAUUGAAGUCCUUCAGUUUAACUGAUCAGUUUGCAUAAAAUACAAUGAUUUUAGGAUUUCAAAUCACAUUUUUUGUUUAAAAAUGUUCAAUUGGUUCAUCAUUGACUAUUUCACCAAACUUCAUGUUAGUCAAGUGUAAGGGGGUUAAGAUGGGCAAGGAGGUGGUGAGAACCGGCUUGAAAAUAUAAAUAAUAAUUUAAACAAAACACACACAUGACGGACAUGCCUGUAAUUCUCUCUCUCUCGAACCGUCGUCACCGGCCGCCUUUAUCCCUCGCGUGCCCCAUCAGGCCAAUUGGAGACCGGGCGUGCGACAUUCUAGCCCGGCCCGCCCCCCCUCUGCUCCACAUCAAGAUUACAGCUAUUUUUUUCUUCAUCUAAAUCAGUAUUGAUAUUUUCGGACUUUUUAGUGCUAUUAUUUUAAAUGCAAUUAAUCAACAAUGUUAAUUAA